rnacentral:lncRNA from 12 species
CUUUUUUGUCCCCUUAAAGUGAAAGAUUUGCUCCCUCUUUCUAUGGAUGUUUUUGGAAAGACUCAAGCAUGCAAAUUUAUGAAAUCAAAUAACAAAGCAAGUUGAUGUAUGUAUCCUGAUGUAGACAACCUCUCUGUGGCUGAUACAUUGCAACCACUAGCAAUAUUCAGAAUGUUAUUUGUGAAAUCAGGUGCUUCAUUGAGAAUGAGAUAUUUUUAAAAAUCCAGGUGAUUGCAGGAGCACUUGGGUGGCACAGUCGGUUAAACUCUGACUCUUGAUUUCGUCUCAUGUCAUGAUCUCAAGGUUAUGAGAUCAAGUCCUGAUUUGGACUCCAGGCUGUGCAUGGAGUCUGCUUAAGAUUCUCUCUCUCCCUUGGUCCCCCACUCCUCAUUUAAAAAACAAAAAUCCAGAUGACUGCCAUUUAAACGUUUCUAUCAGUGUUCUGAGCCAAAACAGGGAAUUUGAUUCACUUUUGAGACAGAUUUCCUUAAAAAAAGGUAUGAAUUCUGUUUAGCAUUAUAAGCUGAAUGUAUUCACGUCUGUGGUUACAAAUAGUAGAAGCCAAGUAUGUGUAACAUUGUGAGCAUGAGGAGAAAAGGAAAUAGAAGCUAGCUAGCUCAAGUAACUAGCUCAUGGAAUUGAUGGAAAAGUUGGAGAAUCAGGGUUGAAAAAUAAGUAUCUAAGAACUAAGGAAAGUUAUGUAGUUGACACCACAGACAGGUCAUGACACAAGAAGACCCUGCUUAAGAAGCCAUGGUCACCAGAGGACCUGGCGACUGCAAGCUGCCCCCAUUGCUCUAGAUGGUAGUCAUUGGAGGUUGCCCCUCUUACACCAGGAUAAGGUCUAAUAAUGCUGCCUUGUCACUUGCUUCUGAUUCUAAGUUCUGGCAAAGAAUCUGUAACUUACCAAGCUUAGAGCAUGAGCACUAUGCCCUAUCUUGUUCCAAGACCCACACAAUGAUAAUUCCUGUACAACCGAAGGCAUUGUUAUCCCAUAACCCCAUUGAUUCUGCAUGGCGGAAACCUGAAACGUGCAAUUCAAUUCAAUCUUCUACAACCACCUUGGUCAUUCAUCCUUUGGAGAAUAGGAUUGGUCCUUUUCUGUUCACUGAUGACGUCUUCUUUUGAUUUCAUACAUUACAAUAGCUGCUUAGAAUCUAUAUUUCGGGGUGAGAAAGGUCAAAGGGGAAGAGGGAGUGGAUAAAAGUGCUGCCUGAUGCCCGAGUUAAUGGGCACAGCAGGUGGGUGCUGAAGAGCAGCCCACUCUUUUCCUCCCCUCCUCAGCAGGGAGCCUGCUUCUCCCCUUCCACCUACUCUUGCUCCUGCUCUCUCUCUCUCAAAUAAACAAACAAGCAAACAAAUAAAUAAAUAAAAU